AAGCGGUGGAGGAUGUGGCUUAAUUCGAGGCUACGCGAAGAACCUUAUCCUAGUCUUGACAUGCAUUUCUAAGUCGGUGAAAGCCGGCGACCGUAGCAAUACGGAACUUGCACAGGUGCUGCAUGGCUGUCGUCAGCUCGUGUCGUGAGAUGUCGCGUUAAGUCGCUUAACGAGCGAAACCCUUGUCCUUAGUUACCAGCGGGUCAUGCCGGGGACUCUAAGGAGACUGCCGGUGUUAAACCGGAGGAAGGUGGGGAUG
rnacentral:rRNA from 1 species